UACGUAGGGUGCAAGCGUUAAUCGGAAUUACUGGGCGUAAAGCGUGCGCAGGCGGUGAUGUAAGACAGUUGUGAAAUCCCCGGGCUCAACCUGGGAACUGCAUCUGUGACUGCAUCGCUGGAGUGCGGCAGAGGGGGAUGGAAUUCCACGUGUAGCAGUGAAAUGCGUAGAGAUGUGGAGGAAUACCGAUGGCGAAGGCAGCCCCCUGGGAUAACACUGACGCUCAUGCACGAAAGCGUGGGGAGCAAACAGG
rnacentral:rRNA from 1 species